rnacentral:lncRNA from 1 species
UCAAGGUAUCAAAAAUUUGGCAGCCUCCAGUGUAAGCCAUGCACAUGUAUACCACCAUGGGAUAUGCCAGAAAUUUGCAAUCUAGAAACUGAACACAUCCACUUCCCUUUUCACUUCCUUUUCCCAGUGGCUUAUUAUUGCUGCAGAAACAUUUAUGGGAAGCCUACUUUUCCUCACAGCCUGAUCAUCUCAUAGGAUUAUUAUUUCUCUGAGCGAUUAUAUUUUGUGAAGAGUAUACUGCCAUCGAGUGAAUGAACAAUAAGACCAAUUUUUAUAAUCACUACUGUAUACUUGUUGAAACAUUUUUCUUAGGAGCUGCACAUUUUGAGUACUGGCAUUAAGGGAAGCAUUAAGUACACUAAUUACAGCAUUUUAAUGGCAUAGUGAAACCAAGUUUAAGUUCACAUGACUGUAUUAAGCAGGAAGUCAUAUUCUAAAGCUCAACUCUCCUCCCUUACAGUUUAGUGAUAUUGAGUAACUGUCAGAGUAUCCACCAAGUGACAGGCCUUAAUUGGUAUCUCAAAUAAUAGAAUAUCCAAUUCUGGAAGCACUGUGCUUUCUGUAACUUGUUUCUGGGCCUUUUCAUCCAUAUCCACAGCUUUAACCACCAUCCAGAAUAUGAUGAUUCACAAAUAUUUAUUUUCCAGCCUGAUGUUUCCCUCAGCUUUAGACUAUAUUGCUAACUAUCUUGGACAUCACCACUUAGAUAUCUCACAGAUACUUUAAACUCUGUGUUUAAUCCAACUCAUUAACUCUCAUUUCCUCUAUACCAUGUCAUUAUACCAGUGUAAAAUCCAGCCCUUGGAAUCUUUCCCUAUUCUCAUUCCCUGCAUGAAAUCUAUUAUCAAGUUGUAUCAAUUUGGUCUCUUAAAUAUUGCUCAAGUCUGUUUCUUCCUCUCCAUCCAUCCUUAGGGCCAGUAGCUUAGCUUGAGGCCCUUAUCACAGCAUUUUACACAUUUAUUACAUAAGUUACAAAUUUAAACUAACAGAUUUUAAGGUGUUUUCCACAAAGGUAGGAACUAUAUCUACCUUCCUCAUGCCUCAUACUCUAGCACCCAAAGCACAGUAGGUCCCUAAUGUAUGUUUGUUAAAUCAGUUCUCACUGGAUAAAUAAGAGUCUAGGGGUUGAAGCAUGAUGACAAUACUAAGUCCUCUUCUUACUUCUGUAUAGUGCGUUACACCCACAGAGCCCCUAGAAACUGUCUCCUUCCACACCUAUAACUCCUUAAGACAGAUUUCAAAAAGCAUCAUUAGCUCUGCUUUGCCAUUUAGGGAGGGAACUGAGGCUCUGAAAAGUUAAAUGACUUGCCCAAUGCUAGUAAGUGGUUGUGUAAGACUGUCUUAACCUUAACUUUAGUGUUCUUUUUACUAUUAGGUAAGUUUGUAUUUUUACAGGGGCAAUUAAGUUCCCUCUCUGUACAAUGGUUCAGAGAGAGAUGGAAGAUUCAGUGGCGAUGAUGUUCAGACAUCAAAUAGAACUUUGGCCUGAGUGACUUUUAAUAAGGUUCCUCUCACUUCUGAUUCCCUUAGCCCUAGGUAUGAUUCUAAAGUAGGCAAAGCUGUCCUCUGAGGCUUCUCUCCAGUGUCACCCUUUUCUGUCUUCAGAUACUCGUUCUCAGUGGAGGAUUCUAGCCCUUGCCUGACCACUGAAUUUCUUAAGCUUGAUCUGCCAUCCAAGAGGCAGCACCAAGCCUUCGAAGCCUUUCCCAACUCUUGUGCCUAGCUUCAGAAGUCUUUCUAUUCCACCUGGCAAAUAUUCUGUUAACAAGCUAAAAUUGAAUCUAAUUAAGUCUGCAGAGCCAACUUUCUAUUCAGAGGAAACAUAGAGCGACACAAGUCACUUGACACCACAAAGAAACAAAUGGAUAAAUCCAGAAAGUGGGAUAUUCUGUAGGACUAUUAAUCUAAUGUCUACAGGCUACUGGUAGAGGGGUGAAAGGAAGAAAGGACUGCUUUAGAAUUAUAGACUUAAAAGACAGAACAAGUAAAUGUAAUAUAAAGAUUUUGGACCCUAAUUUAUACAAACCAACUGUAAAAAAAGGAAAAGCAUUUUAAGACAAUCAGGAUAUCGCAUCAACUUGUAAUUGCUGAUAUCACAGAAUUACUAUUAAUUUUGUUGAACACCAAUAGCAUUAUGGUUUUGUACUAAAAUGUUCACAGUUUUUAGAUGCGUACUAAAGUAUGUGGAGGUGAAAUGACGUUACCUGGGAGUUGUUUUAAAUACUUCAAAAAGAAAAAAGAAAGGAAACAAAUGUUGCAAAUCUUGAUAAUUAUUGAAUCUGAGUGUUGGGUUUAUGGGAGUUCCUUAUAGCAGUUGGGAUACAUGUGAAAGUUUUCAGAAUAAAAAAGUGUAUUCUAAAUCCUUUCUUCCAAGAGUCUUAUUCUACAAAAUUAGAUUUUGUAGUAAUUAGAUUUAAUGAGUUUUAACUAGUAUUUUUUUCUAAGGUGUGCUAAUAUUUCACCUCCUACUGUUUAAGAUUCUAGUUUCCAGAAGAUCCUCAUAGAAUGAGGGCCCUAGUUGGGAUUUCUGGCAACACAAUAAAUGAGCAACACGUUUGAGUUUGGCUUUUGUGAACAGUUCCUGCUGCUACUUCUGUGUUUACGAAGAAAACCCACAAGCUAUUCUUAGGCAAAGAAUUUUGGUUAGAUAUGUUGAUGACUCAAGCUGACUAUGUAAGAACCAAUGGCUCACCAAGUAUGGGCUUGCCAGCAACUGGCGGAGCUACAGUAGUCCUCAAGAAGAAACAAGUUUAGAACCAGAGUAGGGAGAAAGGCUACAUGGUACGGCCCCUCAAUACUGGAUCCAUCUUCAACAUGUGCUUGGCCAGAACCUACAUCUACCUACCCCUUGGUAGCAAAAUUUCCCAAUGCACAGACUUUUUUAAGGAGCUGAAUUAAACUUAGGUGAAUAUCCUAAACUGUCAGUUUACUGCUGAGAACAUGCUGCUUAUCAAGCCAGGCUCCCAGCAAGAGUCCAUAUCCUUGGAUUUUCAAUGACAACAAGAUAUUCCCUAUAACCCAGGAGCUACAGAUACACUGAAGAGAGGUCACAGGGAGAGAGACAGGAAACCAGCGAUGGACCCCAGUAGAAGGACAGGGUGGACGAUGCUUAGGAAGAUCAUGACGACUCUGCUUUCAUUUCCCACAUCCCUAUCCCGCCAGAGGUGAAAAUCAGAGAGGACUUAGUUGGAUGCAUUCUGGACACAAACGCUCUGAAGCUAAUAAAAUUCAAUAUAAUUGGCCCAUCCAAUUAUGUUAGAAUCUAAUAAAAUGUAGUUGUAUAUAUAUAUGACAACAGAAAUCAUCUAGACUGAGACGUCAUUAUUCCGUUUGUGAGAAAAACGAGGCUCCUGAGAUGUAAGGAUCCACCCAAACCACUCAGCAAGUUGGACACACCUGAGGCCUCAUUCCAGCACUGAGUUAAUUUUGUCAAAUCAACUGGUUUCUUGCUUUGAGCAAUUUAAAUAUAUAAAUGACUACAGUAUUGUCAAUAAGUACCAGGAAAACGCAAAAUCAUAAAGCUUAAAGAGAAAUAGAUUUGAGGAAAAUUUCCUGUUGGGAAAAUUGUAAUUAUUAAUAUACUUUAAGAAAAUUAGUUUUAUGGUUAAGAGGAUACUUUAUAAGAAUAAAAUUACUUAAAAGUCACAGUUCUGUGAAAGAUUCUGAUUCGUAACUGUUAAGACUUACUCAAAGUUAUAUUGUGGGGUAGUAAAUUAUUUGCCUGAAUUUAAAAAUUUUGAUGAAAAACCGGAAAAGGAGCAAACUUACAAAAACAAAACAACAAAUAUCAGGGAAAACUCAGGAAGCAUAAUUUGAGUUGACCUUGCCUUUGUACAGUACUGGUAUUUUGUUCCAGUGGGAUUUUAGGAAAAAAGUUUAAAA